GUGGCGGACGGGUGAGUAACGCGUAAAGAACUUGCCUUACAGACUGGGACAACAUUUGGAAACGAAUGCUAAUACCGGAUAUUAUGACUGAGUCGCAUGAUUUGGUUAUGAAAGCUAUAUGCGCUGUGAGAGAGCUUUGCGUCCCAUUAGUUAGUUGGUGAGGUAACGGCUCACCAAGACGAUGAUGGGUAGCCGGCCUGAGAGGGUGAACGGCCACAAGGGGACUGAGACACGGCCCUUACUCCUACGGGAGGCAGCAGUGGGGAAUAUUGGACAAUGGACCAAAAGUCUGAUCCAGCAAUUCUGUGUGCACGAUGAAGUUUUUCGGAAUGUAAAGUGCUUUCAGUUGGGAAGAAGUCAGUGACGGUACCAACAGAAGAAGCGACGGCUAAAUACGUGCCAGCAGCCGCGGUAAAACGUAUGUCGCAAGCGUUAUCCGGAUUAAUUGGGCGUAAAGCGCGUCUAGGCGGUUUAGUAAGUCUGAUGUGAAAAUGCGGGGCUCAACCCCGUAUUGCGUUGGAAAACUGUUAAAACUAGAGUACUGGAGAGGUAGGCGGAACUACAAGUGUAGAGGUGNAAAUUCGUAGAUAUUUGUAGGAAUGCCGAUGGGGAAGCCAGCCUACUGGACAGAUACUGACGCUAAAGCGCGAAAGCGUGGGUAGCAAACAGGAUUAGAUACCCUGGUAGUCCACGCCGUAAACGAUGAUUACUAGGUGUUGGGGGUCGAACCUCAGCGCCCAAGCUAACGCGAUAAGUAAUCCGCCUGGGGAGUACGUACGCAAGUAUGAAACUCAAAGGAAUUGACGGGGACCCGCACAAGCGGUGGAGCAUGUGGGUUAAUUCGACGCAACGCGAGGAACCUUACCAGCGUUUGACAUCCCAAGAAGUUAACAGAGAUGUUUUCGUGCCUCUUCGGAGGAACUUGGUGACAGGUGGUGCAUGGCUGUCGUCAGCUCGUGUCGUGAGAUGUUGGGUUAAGUCCCGCAACGAGCGCAACCCCUUUCGUAUGUUACCAUCAUUAAGUUGGGGACUCAUGCGAGACUGCCUGCGAUGAGCAGGAGGAAGGUGGGGAUGACGUCAAGUCAUCAUGCCCCUUAUACGCUGGGCUACACACGUNNUACAAUGGGUAGUACAGAGAGCUGCAAACCUGCGAGGGUAAGCUAAUCUCAUAAAACUAUUCUUAGUUCGGAUUGUACUCUGCAACUCGAGUACAUGAAGUUGGAAUCGCUAGUAAUCGCAAAUCAGCUAUGUUGCGGUGAAUACGUUCUCGGGUCUUGUACACACCGCCCGUCACACCACGAGAGUUGGUUGCACCUGAAGUAACAGGCCUAAACCGUAAGGAG
rnacentral:rRNA from 1 species